rnacentral:rRNA from 1 species
AACGAACGCUGGCGGCAUGCCUAACACAUGCAAGUCGAACGUGACCUUCGGGACUAGUGGCGCAUAGGUGCGUAACGCGUCGGAACCUGCCCUUAGGUUCGGAAUUACUCUCUGACGGGGGUGCUAAUACCGGAUAAUGUCUUCGGAUCACAGAUUUAUCGCGCUUGGUUGGGCCCGCGUUGGUUUAGCUGGUGGGUAGGGAAAAAGCCUACCAAGGAGAAGCUCCAUAGCUGGUUAGAGAGGAAGAGCAGCCACACUGGGUCGGUGACCCGGCCCAGACUCCUGGGCGAGGGAGCAGUGGAGAAUAUUGGACAAUGGGCGGAGGCCUGAUCCAGCAAUGCCGGGUAAGUGAUGAAGGCGGGAGAGAAGUAAAGCUCUUUUACCCGGGACGAUAAUGACAGUACCGAGAGAAUAAGCACCGGCUAACUCCGUG